CUGGUGAUCUCUUAGCAAAUAGAUCCCAGCUGAGGUGGAGACAGAAUAGAUCUUACAGAAAACGUUUUUCCUUUUUAAGUUAUCCACUUUUUUAAACUAUAGUAAUCUAAACAUCUCUCUGUAGGCUGUAUAUUGCUUAUUUCCUAAUAUAGAAUGAGAAACAGACAAUUGGGAAAUGCUUCUUGUGUAUUACCCCUUUGUUAAAAAGCUUUUCCUAAUCAAAAUCUUCCAGAUAUACUUGAUUUUAAUUUUUUUCUUCAGUGAAGAAAAAACAUGGUUCCUGGGAAAGUUUUCUGCCAUGAUGAGCUGCAUAUUCAGUCCGUGUUUCAAAUGAUCACUCUGAUUAUACAUGUGCCCUGAGCAGAGACCAUAUUAAGAUUUUGAGGGUGGGUGAGGAGGAAAGAGGAGCCACUGAUCAUGUUCAUUUUUUAAAAAUUACUAAAACCCUCCCUAAUAAAUUAAUCUUUUUAGCUGUUUCUCAUUGCCAGGUCUACAUUUAAGUAUCAAAGUUAAAACUUUUUGCAUAUCUAUGGAAGAGAUGAGGUGAUAGUAAAUCGUGCUCUUGAUUUUCCCUGCCAAAAUUGGCCAGGAGUCAUUAACAUAUUAAGUUGUAAGCCUAAUCAGAGUUCACGUGACCCACUUCUGGACAGCAAUCAAUAACUUUGUUCUGUUUUCAAAGUUUAGGUUGAAGAUGGAUUUGGCUUUUGGUGGGAAGGGGGCUAAAUCCUUUGCAGGGGAGGAGACAUGGCUUUAUGGACAAAGCUGGGAAGCAGAAGUCCAGGACCAGAAAAAUCAAAACUUCCUUGUCUCAGGACCAAGUUAACCAAGGUUGAGCUUUUCAAUAUGGGAAGGGCUGAAGGUGACAUGGUUACUACUCUGAUUUAGAUUGUUCAGAGAGCUAUCCAGUUUUAAUGUGCAUGACUGCAAGGCAGAAGCUGUACUUAGUAUCAAAGAGAUUGAAGCUGUAGUCAAAUUCAUUCUGUUCACCUGGAUUGGUUAGUGAUAGAAGCCAUGAUUUAAAAUCCUACCAACAGUGACUUAGUUUCUCUUUAUGAAAGAAGAUAGAAGAUUUUUUACCUCUCUACCUCUAAAAAUUCUCCAGCUUUUUCUGGACAUUCUCCAGCAGAACCAAUAAAUACCAAAAAUGUUUGAAUCUUCUUGCAUAAAAACCUGAUAAAAUUCCUUAAUAUUUGCCCUUGUUAGCCCUGUAAAUUAACAGCCAAUUAAAAAUAAAUAGUAUUUGAAUAAA